UACGUAGGGGGCAAGCGUUGUCCGGAAUCAUUGGGCGUAAAGAGCGCGUAGGCGGUCCGGUAAGUCCGCUCUGAAAGUCCGGGGCUCAACCCCGGGAGGCGGGCGGAUACUGCCGGGCUAGAGUCCGGAAGAGGCGAGUGGAAUUCCUGGUGUAGCGGUGAAAUGCGUAGAUAUCCGGAGGAACACCGGUGGCGAAGGCGGCUUCCUGGACCGACACUGACGCUGAGGCGCGAAAGCUAGGGGAGCAAACGGG
rnacentral:rRNA from 1 species